ACGCAAGAACAGAUCUUAGUUGUUCGAUCGCGUGCAUGCGGAUCGCCCACACGGCUCCCCCCGCGUUUCCUCCCGUGUCAGCGCCUCCGCCACCUGGCGCGUCCUGGUUGGUCGGGGCUACUGACUGGGCAGCUGGCAUGGCGUAACUUUUUAAAAAUCGUUUUGACCUCCAUUUUUUGAUUUUUCUUUCAAAAAUACCUCCAGAACCCAAAUUUUCACUAUUUUUCUCCAAAAUUGUUU
rnacentral:lncRNA from 1 species